UUUAUAGCAAUAUAGAGGCUGGCGACCGGCAAACGGGUGCGGAACACGUACACAACCUUCCUUGAAUAGGGGGAUAGCCCAUAGAAAUGUGGAUUAAUACCCCGUAAUAUAGCGGUGUGGCAUCACACUGUUAUUAUAGUUUCGACGAUUCGAGAUGGGUGUGCGGCUGAUUAGGUAGUUGGCGGGGUAAAGGCCCACCAAGCCUUCGAUCAGUAGCUGAUGUGAGAGCAUGAUCAGCCACACGGGCACUGAGACACGGGCCCGACUCCUACGGGAGGCAGCAGUAAGGAAUAUUGGUCAAUGGACGCAAGUCUGAACCAGCCAUGCCGCGUGAAGGAUGAAGGUCCUCUGGAUUGUAAACUUCUUUUAUAGGGGGCGAAAAAAGGUUUUUCUAAAUCACUUGACAGUACCCUAUGAAUAAGCACCGGCUAACUCCGUGCCAGCAGCCGCGGUAAUACGGAGGGUGCAAGCGUUAUCCGGAUUCACUGGGUUUAAAGGGUGCGUAGGCAGGUAGGUAAGUCAGAGGUGAAAUCCUGGAGCUUAACUCCAGAACUGCCUUUGAUACUAUCUAUCUUGAAUAUGGUGGAGGUAAGCGGAAUAUGUCAUGUAGCGGUGAAAUGCAUAGAUAUGACAUAGAACACCUAUUGCGAAGGCAGCUUACUACGCCUAUAUUGACGCUGAGGCACGAAAGCGUGGGGAUCAAACAGGAUUAGAUACCCUGGUAGUCCACGCCCUAAACGAUGAUUACUCGACGUAUGCGAUACACAGUAUGCGUCU
rnacentral:rRNA from 1 species